GGUACCAGGAUACCAGGCCAUAAACUCCAAAAAAAAAAACUGAGAACCUUAGUUGAGACUUGAGAAUUAAAAAAAAACAUUCUUCGAAAAUAAAAUUCAUUAAACCCUAAGUUUGUGAUUUAAAGAAGUACACUUACAGGUUGAUAUCAUUACAAUACUUAUAAGGAGUAUUGUUUAUUGAUUACUCUACAGUUAAGCAAUAUAAUAAAAUAUGGAACUACUAGAUGUAAUGAAAAAUUUAACUAUUAAAAAUGUUGCUAAUGAAAGUAAUCAAAACUUUUUCAAGUCAAUUGCUGCAGAUAUAGACGAUGUACCAACUGAAAUUGUUUAUGCAGAUUAUUCAGAUAAAAUAAUGCUCAUUAUUUCACAAUACCAAAAAAUUGGCAGUUUAUUAAUGAUUCAAAAGGAACAAGUGCAUAGCCCAUUAGGUUCAAAUGACAUUUAUUCAACAAAAGUAAUUUUUGGUGCUUCAGGAGAAGAACAGCAAGUUGCAGCAAGAUAUCUGGCUGAAGCAAUUGACAUAUGUAAACCACUUUGUAUAUUUAUUAAUCUUAAAUCAUAUGACAUUGAGACAGUCAAAGCUUGUAAAGAUAUCAUUCUCGACUUGAAGAAAGAGGAAAAGUAACAAUGUCUUUGGUAAGAAAAACGAAUUUCAAAAAUGUUAAUAAAUUGUAUGGACAAUUAAUCAUAGGACCUCCCGGUGCCGGCAAAACAACAUACUGCAGUGAAAUGUCAAAGCUAUUAAGAAAACUUGGAAGGAAAACAAUUAUUGUCAACCUGGAUCCAGCUAAUGAUAACAUUACUUAUGAACCCGAUAUUGACAUGCGAAAUUUAAUAACUUUAGAAAAUGUUAUGGAAGUGCACAAUUUGGGUCCUAAUGGUGCACUGCUAUACUGUAUGGAAUAUUUAGAAAAAAAUAUAGAAUGGCUUAUAGAACAACUAAGAGAUGAGCAUGCUGCAAAUUAUAUAUUUGAUUUACCUGGUCAGGUUGAGCUUUACAGCCAUCAUGAGUCAUUAACAAAUAUUUUCUCAAAAUUAGCUAACACUGCAAACUUGGAACUUUGUGUGAUACAUCUCGUUGAUUCACAUCACUGUUCUGAUGCUGGAAAAUUUAUUUCAGCUUUAAUGUUGUCUUUAAAUGCCAUGUUGAAACUAGGCUUUCCACACAUUAAUUUACUUACUAAAGUAGAUUUACUAAACAAACAUUCAGAUAAAUUGCAAUUCGGUAUAGAUUUCUAUACUGAAGUUUUAGAUUUAAAUUAUUUAUUGGAUUCUUUAGAUACUGACCACUUUGCCAGCAAAUAUACAAAGUUAAACAGAGCCUUAGUGUCUAUAAUAGAAGAUUAUAGCUUGGUAACAUUUCAAUUAGUUAACAUGUUUAAAGAGGAAAGUUUAAUUAAAGUUAAGAACUCCGUGGAUAAGGCUAAUGGCUAUGUUUUUAAAGCAGAUGAAGGUCGCCAUAUAAACAGCCUGUUGGCCUGUGCUAUGGGCAUUCCAGAUAAAACUAGUGAUGUAUAGAUAGAAUAACAAGAACUAUCCAGGAAAUUUGUGACACAUUAUUUCCUAUGUAGUAACUUCCAACAUAAUAAAUAUUCAUAAACUAAUAAGCCUAUUGAGCCUUAAAACUGCUCCUUUAACCUUCAAAUAGCAGUUUUCCUUGUCAUAUAUGUAGUAGUUUAUUGGAACUAUGUAAGUGUACACUGGCACUGUAAAUAGUGUAUAAGAUUGUUUCUUACUGUACUUUAUAUAAUAGGAUGUCUAAAAACAAAAAAGAUUUGUAUACAAAACUAUUGGAAGAAGAGUUGAAAAUAGAUAAACUUUUAAAUGAUGACAAAAAUCAAAUUCAAGUCAAAUUAUUGCACCAGUAUAAUAAUAUUAAAGAUGCAACCCAAAUAGUUAUAAAUCACAUUGCUAAUUUAGAAGGAACGACCCUAACUGAUAUUCAUAAAAAACUAAAUCUUGAAGAAUGAAAUAAAACAAGUAUUAAUGA